GCACCACUACAGAUCUUGCAUAGUACAAAUAAACCAUGGAUACUUUUGAGGAAUUUGCGUACUUCGUCUUCCUGGUUUCAGUUAUUAUCAAUUCCUUAUGAUCACCUAAUUCAUGCCUCAGUUUUUUUAACCAGGAGUGAUGGCCUAAAAGCCCUAGAGGAACAUAUACACCGAAGUCAUGCACGUUUCUAGAUCCCUUUUCUUUUGAAGUAAUUUGCAUUCGCACAGUUAUAACUAAGUCUUACAGUUAGGUUGGAAUCUGGGAAGGAGGUUUUCAUAUGUGUGCAAACGUCUAAGGCUAAUUAAACAAGCGCACCAUUUUACUCAAGUGUGUGACUGUCUUGGGAAGAUGUAUUAGUAGAAACUUCUGACGACCCAGCUGAUGCAAGAUUGAUUAAACUGGCUGAUCAAUCAGUAUGAAUGAAGAUUAAGCUAGCUGAUCGAUCAAUAUGAUGAACUCACCUAAUUUUAUUACAUGAAAAGACUAAAGUUUGUCAGUAAAAAAAAUCACAUGUCAGUUUCAGUUCCCCCCUCCAUAUUUAACAUUACUGGAACUAACUUGGCAGACUUCUGACGCAGUAUGCAGCAUGCUGAAAAUACCUCUGAUGCAUGUACAUUAGCUAUUAUGUAAAACAUCCUAAUUUACUUUAGAAACACCAUUUUAUUCACAUAAAAAGUUUAACAUGCUCGCUUUAAUUGGAUGAUUGUGAUUCUAGAUUCUAAAUAAAAAGUUUUAGUCGGAUGAAACUACCUUUUCUGCUGUACAAAAGGAACACAGAGUGGUACAAGUAACCCUAUUUCUGUAGUUGGUGGAGAGAUUUGCUCAGAUUCUAAGUUACAGUUGUGACAAAACCUUGGAAAUUUUCCGUGUAUGCAUGGUUGGUGGGACGUCAAGGAAAUGAAUGGAGAAUAAGCAUGCCUAGUUGAAAAGGAGCGAGAGCUAGGAAAUGCAUACAGUGAAAUCAAAGGCUUAAAGGUGACGGAAGCUCUGAAGGACAAGGCUAUUGCUGAGCUGAGCAAGGAACUAAAGAAACAGGACGAGAAGAUGAGAAGUUUGGAAAAACAGCUUGAGCAGAAGAAUUUGGAUGUGAAACGAUUAAGCAAUGAGCGUAAAGAAGCAUUGUCUGCACAGUUCGCUGCAGAAGCAACACUCCGAAGGAUCCACUCUUCUCAAAAGGACGAGGAGUCAGUUCCUUUCGAUGCCAUCAUUGCACCCUUGGAGUCAGACAUAAGAAAGUACAGGCAUGAGAUUGCAGUUCUCCAGGACGACAACAAGGCCCUAGAACGACAUGUAAAGUUGAAGGAGGUGGCGCUUGUCGAAGCAGGGAACAUUUUGCGUAGCGCACUUGAGAGGGCACUGAUUGUAGAGGAUGUUCAGAACCAGAACAUCGAACUGAAGAAACAGAUGGAGAUAUACCAUGAAGAGAACAAAUUGUUAGAAAAGGCUAACAGACAGAAGGUGCUGGAGGUCGAGAAGCUCACGCAUACCAUUAUUGAGCUUGAGGAGUCCAUUCUUGCGACUGGUGAGGUUGCCAAUGCAGUGCACUUCUAUCAGAAUCAGGUUGCCAAGUUGAAGGAGGAAAAGAAAACUCUUGAGAGGGAGCUAGCUCGAGCCAAGGUUUAUGUCAAUCGUGUUGCAUCAACAGCGGCGAAUGAAUGGAAAGACGACUCUGAUAAGCUGAUGCCUGUCAAGAGAUGGCUUGAAGAACGAAGGCUCCUGCAGGGAGAGAUACAACGACUGCGUGACAAGAUAACAAUAGCAGAGAAAUCUGCAAAGAUUGAAGCCCAGCUUAACGACAAACUAAAAGGGAGGCUGAAAUCACUCGAAGAAGACAUGAGAAAUGAAAUAUCCAACUCCUCUACAAAGGAAAUUACCAAAAAAGUCACUCCCGGAAGAUCAACAUCUCAACCAAGACAACCCAACACAGCUAGAGUGUCGUCUCAACCAUCCUCACCUGAAGCCAUUAACAGGAGAAGGCCAAUAUCUCAACCAAGGGCAUCAAUAGCAGGGAAAGUGUUGAAGCAACCUAAUUCAGAAACAGAAUCUGCUGAGAAGACUAGGCUUUCUAAGCGAUUCGAUAGCCCAAGAGCAAGAACGGUGGCUGGUAAAGGUGAGCGUCCUACGAAAAAUCAUCUGUGGGCGCCAAGAAGCAAAAUGCCCUCCGAUGGUGGGAAAGAAAACAAAGAACAAAACCCAAAUCCCAAGGCGCAUCAGAAUGUUUCACAUUCACAAGGGCAUGGCAGCACAAAAGUGCUCGAUGGAAAUGACGAAUGUGGAGUUCAAUGUAACGAACAUCAAGAAGCUCUGGAGAAUGAGAGAAAUGCAAACAACUCCAGUGCUGGUAGCCCUUAGGACAACAUUGCAGGCUCGGAUGUUGGGGAUUUCCUUUUGCAAGAGACUACCUAUAAUAGUCUAAUAGAAGUACAAAUAACAUUGUCAUGUACAGAUGCAACAUUUGACUUAUUUUAAGGAGUGUGCACACCCAUCUACAGCGUAAUUCAUUCCGUUUGGGAUAUUGUUUGAACAACAAAACCAGCUGUGGUUUCGUCACCUUGUCUUGUUUCUUUGUAAUCUUCUGUACAUAUAAGCUAUACCUAUGCCUCAAAGUUUACAAAAGUUAUUUUUGUGUGACUGCUGAAAAGAAAUAGAGAAAUUUGUGUCCUUUUUGAUAAAUUGUUCAUUUUGUCAAAUAAGAGUUGUUACUAAUGUAAUGGAAGCAGUAAAAAAGAAGUGAAUGGUGUGACAUUGUCGAAUCAAUAAAAUGAUGAAUCUUAUCA